rnacentral:piRNA from 1 species
UUGAUCAUGCAUUGGACUGCAGAAAU